GGAAGUGCGUAGUCUCUGGUGAGGCUCCCGGACUUCAAAUCCGGUGUGGGGCGCUAAAACCGUCCCGGGUGAGUUCGAUUCUCAUGCACUUCCGCCA
rnacentral:tRNA from 1 species